rnacentral:rRNA from 1 species
UACGAAGGGGGCUAGCGUUGUUCGGAUUUACUGGGCGUAAAGCGCGUGUAGGCGGACUUGUAAGUUGGGGGUGAAAUCCCGAGGCUCAACCUCGGAACUGCCUCCAAAACUACAAGUCUGGAGCAAGAUAGAGGCAAGUGGAAUUGCGAGUGUAGAGGUGAAAAUUCGUAGAUAUUCGCAAGAACACCAGUGGCGAAGGCGGCUCACUGGCCCGAUACUGACGCUGAGGCACGAAAGCGUGGGGAGCAAACAGG